rnacentral:rRNA from 1 species
UCGCAAUGCCCGAAAGGGUGACGAAGCGACGCCGCGUGCGGGAGGAAGGCCUUCGGGUUGUAAACCGCUGUCGGGAGUUAAGAAAUGCAAGGAUGUUAAUAGCGUUCUUGCUUGACUAAGGCUCCGGAGGAAGCCACGGCUAACUCUGUGCCAGCAGCCGCGGUAAUACAGAGGCGGCAAGCGUUGUUCGGAAUUAUUGGGCGUAAAGAGCACGUGGGCGGCUGUGUAAGUCGGUUGUGAAAGCCUUCCGCUCAACGGAAGAACGGCAUCCGAUACUGCAUGGCUUGAGUGUGGGAGGGGAGAGUGGAACUUCUGGUGGAGCGGUGAAAUGCGUAGAUAUCAGAAGGAACACCGGCGGCGAAGGCGACUCUCUGGUCCAUAACUGACGCUGAGUGUGCGAAAGCUAGGGGAGCAAACGGGAUUAGAUACCCCGGUAGUCCUAGCCGUAAACGAU